AUCUCUUGUUGCAGCCCUGGUAACUGGUGUAAGGGGAAGGAAACCUUUUCCUCCAGAUCCCAAUGGACAGCUGAAGAGAUCUCCAUUACUUGGUGCCUGUACUGAGCGCCUCCUCUCCUGGAAAGCUCCCCUUGGGCUCCGAUGGAGAGGAAUAGAAGAAGCAAGGCCUGUGGAGGGAGAUUAAGAACGCCGUUGGGCAUCUAGCCAGAAAAAGAAAAACCAUGUCCAACAAAAGAACAAGCAAGAGAUAUGGGCAAGGGAAGAAGAGGGAGGCAAAACCACCAUCUGCCGACCCAAUUCUCAGGAUCAAUGCGGUGCAGCGAAUACCAGAGUCCAUCCCAGUUUUCAAGAGGUUCCCAGCCAUUCCGCCAAAGAAAGCUCCUCCAGGAAAACCACCUGGAUGCCCCUUAGAGAAACCGCUGCCGGCCAUGGCUGUCGUGGGAAGAGGGCUUGGGAAGCCACCUCCUGCAAUACCACAGACUUUUGACUCAUUUUCAGUAAGGCCGCUUGGCUAUUUCAUGCCUCAGCCACCAUCAGUUAAAAUGAGGCCGUACCAACCCAGAGAAACACCAUCAGACGUUCUGUUUUCCCUGCCAAAGAGGCUCCUGCAACGCCAGCCCAUCUAUGUGCACAUAGUAGCCAGGCCUUUCCAAAACGGAGGAGGAUCUCUAGAGCCAUAGUCCUCCUUCAUAUAAUUAUUGCUGCGCCAGAAGACACUAAGCCUAACCCUCCUCCCCUGGAAGACCUCCAAGGAGCAGCAGCCCAUCCGAGAGAGGAGAAUCUUUCAGGAGCAGAGGGCCAGGGAGGAGACAACCCAAUGGACCACGCUGGGUAGGGCCCAUCUCUUUAAGGAGGGAGAGGACACAGAGAUCUCCAAAGACUACACCUACCCUGAGGACAAAAACUCUGAGGACUAAAAAAAUGGCAGCAUUGCUUCAGAUGUCCUCCUCCCUGCCAGUUGCAGCUCUGCACCAAGAAUGGAACAAGAAAAGGAACUUGGCUGUUCAGUAUUGGGAACCAAAAAAAAACCCUGAUUCCUCUGCAGGA